AAUAAUCUGACGUGUCAUGAAAGGAGUUCCACGUAAAGUACCAAUAAUUUUCAUUUUUCCGUAGAUGCCACCGCCACCACAUUCCUCUAUACAAAAAAUCAAUAUAAAUAUAUCACACGAGAUUCUCCAUUUUCUUCAUCAAUCACAAUUCACAAUCAAUUUUCAAUACACAGAAAACUCUUUUUCCAAAAAAAACAACACACAAUGGAAACCGCAACCACCCUCACCGGACUCCUCCAAGCCGUCGCCGAAAAAUUCCCUUCCCGACGUGCCAUCUCC
rnacentral:lncRNA from 1 species